rnacentral:rRNA from 1 species
GACAUCCAGCGAAUUCGGUAGAGAUACCUUAGUGCCUUCGGGAACGCUGAGACAGGUGCUGCAUGGCUGUCGUCAGCUCGUGUUGUGAAAUGUUGGGUUAAGUCCCGCAACGAGCGCAACCCUUAUCCUUUGUUGCCAGCGGUCCGGCCGGGAACUCAAAGGAGACUGCCAGUGAUAAACUGGAGGAAGGUGGGGAUGACGUCAAGUCAUCAUGGCCCUUACGAGUAGGGCUACACACGUGCUACAAUGGCGCAUACAAAGAGAAGCGACCUCGCGAGAGCAAGCGGACCUCAUAAAGUGCGUCGUAGUCCGGAUUGGAGUCUGCAACUCGACUCCAUGAAGUCGGAAUCGCUAGUAAUCGUAGAUCAGAAUGCUACGGUGAAUACGUUCCCGGGCCUUGUACACACCGCCCGUCACACCAUGGGAGUGGGUUGCAAAAGAAGUAGGUAGCUUAACCUUCGGGAGGGCGCUUACCACUUUGUGAUUCAUGACUGGGGUGAAGUCGUAACAAGGUAGGCGUACGUGU